UACGUAGGAGGCGAGCGUUGUCCGGAAUUACUGGGCGUAAAGAGCGCGUAGGCGGCACUGUACGACCGCUGUGAAAGCCCCCGGCUCAACUGGGGAGGGUCAGUGGUAACGGCAGAGCUGUGAGUGCAGGAGAGGGAAGUGGAACUCCGGGAGUAGCGGUGAAAUGCGUAGAUACCCGGAGGAACACCAGUGGCGAAGGCGGCUUCCUGGCCUGUAACUGACGCUGUGGCGCGAAAGCUAGGGGAGCAAACGGG
rnacentral:rRNA from 1 species